rfam:Lachnospiraceae bacterium 3-1 genomic scaffold acPFp-supercont1.5, whole genome shotgun sequence.
UACUAAACAAGCAUGUGACCGAAGACAGCAGGUGCUUUCGAGCGUAACAGUAUGACCUGCCGAGGCAAUUUACAGAAGUAUUUUAUUUCUGGUAAAGGAAUGAAAGAUUAUUUCAAGCCUCUUUGUCUCGUACGAAGAGGCUAUUUUAUUAUAAUA